rnacentral:lncRNA from 1 species
UCCACUCGUUUUUUGUUCAAUCCCCCAUUUGUUUAGCAAUACAUGUAUGGGAAUCCAUACAAAGGAUAGCGAAAACUCUAUACGGUUGAUCUUUUGAGCCCGCUUCAAGCUAGAUUGACUAAUCAACCUGUCUUGGGGUAAAGACUUCUUCCGCUUACGUUUUCUUCCACUUAACUUUUGUACAUAGUGAUACGAGCUCGUUUCGGAG